GGAGCCAGAAUGUCGCGUGUCUUCGUGCUAAGUUUUCUUCUUUAAUGCCACCUGUCAUCCCAACCCAAUCCUUCCACACGGCUAAAGGAAACAAUUCUAAAUCGACCCAUUCGAAGUCUCGACGCGGGUUUUGGUGCUGCAGACAGGGCGAGAUGUGCUGUGACAAUAGGUGCAGCAUCUCCAUUUAUGCGAUCAUUGGCUGUCUUCAAGGUGCAGGAAAUGUUGCCUUCCGCUUGAUUUAUAACACAGGACAGCAUGGCGUUGUAAAAUACGUGGACAUAACUUUCCAGGCGAUCUCGUUAGUCAUGCACAUGAUCCUGCUGUUGGCAAUGAUACAGGUCAGUAAAAAACUGCUGGGAAUCUUCAUCACCUAUUUAAGACUCUGCGUGGCAGCAAUGCUGAUCCUCAUCGUAAUCGACAUCACAGUGGGUAUAUAUGCGGACACCGGUUCUCAAAGUACCAAGGGUGACGGAGCACGAAUGGGCCAGGAGACGAGUCUUCCAGGCGUCACCGAUGUGGUCGGGUUCCCCGACGAAUACCCUUUCCUCAAGCAUUUCGAUGCCAGCAGAGUGCGACAUGAUGUGUCGCUUACCAACGAGACUACGCAGCCUGUACCAGAGAUCGAGAAGCGAGCCGAGACACCAAAACCUGGAGAACGCAUGGGUUUCGUCUGGCUUGCGUCGGAAAUAUGCGACACACGGUGCUGGGAGCAAUAUUUACCUCCUGGGUUACCGACUGCGCUACCGAGGAAGGCCUACCGCGUCUGCCGCACCCAAUCAACAAGUACUGUCCUUGACGAAAAAAUACGAACAGCCAGUUGAGAUUUUCGGUAUCAAGUAUACGUUCGUGAAUCACGUCAUUACUAUUAUGGUUUACCUCUUCGUGGCCUGGAGAAUGGACACUUAUUAUGCCACCCUUCCUGGUGAUGGAUGACCGCGAUUACGGAGUGAAACUAUCGCAAAUAAACUGUAUUCAUGUAUUGUCA